rnacentral:lncRNA from 1 species
GAUGCUCGCGAAUAGGAGGCAACCCGAGUAAGGAAUGAGCUACAAAUAGCAUGCCAUGUCGUGCGCAUGCACCCAACAAACAUGCAUGUCCAUAUCAACCCGCACGAUGUGCACGUGUGGCCUAAGCCAAGGAAGAGGCUGCAUCUUCAAGAGAGGGGCCAUGACCAUGAAGAAAGUGAAACUCGGCAAGGCUUCCCACCAAGCAAAGGCCUAAGCGAAGGAAGAGAUCAGUCCACCCAAGUGCUCUAUUAUGGGAUAGGAUUUAGAUCCACAUAAGGAGGGCUAAAAAGACCCAUUUAAAAAGAGCCUAAACAAGGUAAAAAAAUAUAUUGGAUCAGAUCAAUAAAGCCUAACCCGAGGGGACUUUCAAAAGCCCAAGCCAUGAAACCCAAGGAGGACCCAAUGAGAAUGCGGUGUGUAUGACCCACGGAGAAGUAAGCCUUUGGCCUCUAGGCCAGGAGGGCCCUCAACCAAGGAAAGUCAUACAACAGACAGGAUGACACGUAUGUGAGGCUUGCACAUACGCCGGAGGGGAAAUCUGCGCAUACGGGAGAUUCCCACACGUGAGGGCAGUCCGCAACCUGCGUCCCUUUUCUUUUUGUGAAUUGAAAUCUUAUGGAUGUGUUCUUCUUUAAUUUGUGGCUAA